rnacentral:rRNA from 1 species
AAGGCGAGGCCGAAAGGCGUAGUCGAUGGGAAACGGGUUAAUAUUCCCGUACUUGGUGUUACUGCGAAGGGGGGACGGAGAAGGCUAUGUUGGCCGGGCGACGGUUGUCCCGGUUUAAGCGUGUAGGAUAGAGACCUGUUCUAUUUUUUGCGCUUCGGGCGGGUAGUCGGAAUAGCUGCUGACGCCAACGGGCGUAAUCCCGGCGGCAAAAGCGAGCUCCGUA